CAUGGAAGCUGGGUUCCCAAAAAACUAUCCAUCCAAGAGUUAGCAGGUCAGAAACUGUAGUAUCUUUGAGAACGCAGUCUCAGAAGUGGUUCUGCAUCACUAUAUUUCAUCCACAAUAUCCUAUUUGUUACUAAGUUAAGCCCUAUUCAGUGUCAGGAGGUGGAGACUACUAGGCCAGCAAUCACCUGCCAGGAUGGGAGGACCUCUGGGGGCCACCUUGGAAGCCAGUCCCCAUCAUGGAACUGUCCAUUGACAGAAUAGGCUGUGUCAUGAGACAAUAAGUGCCUGGAGGUACACAAACAAACCUGGCCCCAAACUGAGUAAAUGAGGAAAGGGGGUGGGCAGUUUUCUAGAGCACAUUGUGAAUAGUCUAGACAAGCUUCCUCCUUUCAGAACUCAUUGUUCUCUAAGGAGUAUGUAAACUGACUUGAAAAAAAGAAAAGAGAGAGGGAAAUUAAGUGAGUUGAAAACACCAAAAUAGCUCUCAUUUUUUAGAGUGAAACUAUUUGAUAAAUUAUUUGAGGGUUACAUUUAUGAAGCGGGCAUGGAGGUGAGGGCAAACCAGAGCAAUCCCCCAAGAUGAGAUGAUUGGCAGUAUACCCUGGAGAAGGGAGCAAGAAUUUAAACACUGAGAAUUGUUUAAUUAGCCUAACUUCAUUCAAGACCUCUCAGCCUCAUUUUCAUUGUUUGUCUUACAUACAUAACAUCCUUCGGUAUCAGCCCAUCUUUUUGCAGCAUCAAGCCCCAAGACUCUGAAACAGUGUUUUAGAUAACCUACUAGGCAUUUCAUUCUCUAAAGAAACCAAUUAUAUAUGAAAUUAAUAAUUAAAAAUUAUAAAUAGAAAGAACAAGAAAACAUGCAUACUCCAUGUCCUGCGGGUAGAUUUUUGCAUGGUGUGUAGGGAAUUAGGUGCAAAAAAAUCCAUUUAUGUUAAUGGGCAUUGCAUGUCUAAUUUCUCAUGCACCACACUGCCGACUUCCCCCUGUGUCUUUGUCAGUACAUGGGACUGAUGGAGGGGGAAAGAAAAGUGAAUGAUUUAUUUGAUGGUCUGUCAAUCAUAACAGCAACCAGAGAAAUUCCAAAACUGUUUUUAACCUCUAUAGAAACAGUUAGUUAGACCAUAUGCUUUUUUCUUCUUGCCAGAUGCUGUCAUUCAUCAAUUUCCUAUUAAGAAAAUGGGAUUCUGCAAAACCACUGAGGGUCUUUCUCAUUUGUAAUAGAUAUGCCACAAAAUCAGAUUGCAAACGUAUUCUGCAGCUUGUGCAAAAUAACUUCUGACACUUGCUAAUCUCCAUAUUAAUUCUGACUGACCUUUGAUGGUGUUUCUUAUGUGUGGUCAGAACAUCAUCCAAAAAUAUUAUUUUAAAAUUACUUUUACCCUGAGUUUAAGCCUAGAGGUUAAAUAGAUUUGUUUGUGAUUAUCCAGUCUAUAAAAAAGAAAUUAAAUGGACAUUUAAAAAUACCAGUUCCCUCCUAAAAUACUCUUUAGAUAGUAAAGAGAGAUAAUAAAAUGUCUGAGAAUUAAAGUAAGCAACAUGAGCCAAGCAUUGAUCACUCGAAGACAUCAAAGAAACUGAAAAAAAAUUUUUUUAAUUAUAUUGACCCCUCUCACCCCACCAAGUACAAAGAUCAUUUUGUUGAGAGCAGAUGGCUGCUAAUUACUAUAAGCUCCUGAGUGGAUUUGUUUGUUUGCUUGUUUGUUUAUAAUCAUGGAUAAAGACACCUAGAAAACCUAAGGACUCCUUUUCUUAGGGACAAUAAAAUCCAUCCUCUCCUCAGCAGCAGUACAUCGUCAGGCUUCAGGACAUGGCUAUAACAACAAUUGCAUUUUGGGUUUUAAAUUUGAAUGUUCUAGGUAGUUGGAAUAUAUUGACACUUGCCAUCAUUUCUAACACAGAUUUUCUUGAGGUAUUCUUAUGAUAACACUGGUGGCUUCAAAUGUUUGCUUGUCAUGCCGAACUCACUGAGCAAACCAGCGAACAUGGAAGUUUAAGGGAAAAGAAUACCACUGCACAACUUUCAAUCUGCAGCAUUUUGCAUUUCUUAUUAAUAGGAACUGACUCUUUGACAAACCCUGCAAAUGCUUUAUAGGAGUGAGGAAUGCUCUGAAAUUCAAGGCAAAUUUCGUUCAAUAGUUAAGCACUGAUCAAAAUUCUGAAUUUUCUCUGGCUGUCAGCCAGCAAGCAGGGGCUGCUUAUUGUUUAAGAUUUUAGUAGAAAGCCACUCAGAGGGGAGGGGAAAAAAAAAAAAAAUCUAUGACUUUACAGCUGUCAGACUUUCUUUGUCUUUUUAUUCAUAGACCCAGUAGAGAGUGCAUAUAGCCAUAAACGUGUGCCUCCAUCACACGGCAUUGCUAUUGACCCCUGCCCUGAGCUGAAGAUUGUACCUUCUCAGGGGAUAACAAAUGAUUCACUUUGCAGGUAGGCAGAGGCCUGGAGCUCCCUUCUCCAGACACUGCCAAUUUUCCUGAAUGAUCUCUUGUGAUUGGUUUUCUCAUAUGAAUGGACUCUCUGAGUACACCACCACCAAACUCUGUUUAUUUAGGAAUAUGUCUUUGACAAGAACAGCUGUCCUGGGGUUGAAAUGAUUAGUACUUUAUCUGCUAAUGCAGGUUCCCAUUUGGCUGUGGGCUAAAAACACAUUUCCAUCCUGGGAAAACAUUGCUGCCAUUUCUUGGCCCCCAAACAAGUUUUUGGUGUUUGAUCAAGCUGAGCCACUAAAAAAAAAAUGACAAUAAUCUUAUGUAAGGUCACUGGCUUGACCUCUAACGGCCGACUAAGGUUCCAGUUCUGUAAGGUGAACCGGAAAAACGAGCAAGCUCUGUGCAUAGAAAUAGUAGCCAAGUUUCCUCUAUUAAUCCAGCCUCACUUGGGAGCAUGGUUAAAAUAAGGAUACAGGUGAGCACAAAAGAGAUAGGAUCCUGAGUCUGACCUUGACUUAGAGAGAAAAUUCUUUAACAGGUCCAUAGUGGGUGGGAGAAAUGGAGCUAGAGGCCCUCAGCCAGAAAAUUAUUUAACCUGGAGCUAACAUUCUUUCAAACUUCCUGUUUAGGAGUGUUAAGGUAUUUCCAAGCACAGUUGUACAAACACAUAUCCAUUGUGAGAUACAAAUAUGUGUAGUCUGUUGAAUAAAAUAUUAAAAAGUAACCACUACUUUUUGAAAUAUUGGUCUGUCAUUUUUUAGUGUUUUGAUUAUUUGGGCAUCUUAAUGCUUUUCAAUAGCAUCUGCCGAAGCCCACUGAAAAACUUUAAGAUUGGUUUAAAGCACUGUUAAACUAACCCGCAAAGAGCAGAGCCCAUAACAAAUUAGUAAAUUGUCACAAACUAGGUGGCAAGACAGCAAAAAUAUAUUUUCUCAAAGUCCUGAAGAUGAACCACUUCAAAUCAAAUUAUCAGCAGGGCCAUAUUCUCUGAAGGCUCCAGGAAGACUCUUUCCUUGCCUUUUCCUUUCUUCUGGUAGCUCCCAGCAGUCCUCAUUAUUCCCUGUCACAUCUUCUUUGAGGCUCUGUCUCUGUUUCCGUGUGUCUCUCUGUGUAACAUCUGCUUUCUUAUACAUCCGUCAUUGGAUUUAGGGUCCACCCUAGUCCUAUAUGACCUCAUCUUAAAUACAUCUGCCAAGAUCCUAGUCUUAAAUAAGGUCAUAUUCCCAGGUAGACCUGAAUUUUGGGAAAACACAUCAGCCCAAAUCUCUUUCUCCAUGUGACCUACUGGGAUAACUAGGAAAACAGCAGGAACAGUGGCCUACCUUUUUCUUUGAAAGGUAUUUGAUGACCUGACAGUUGUAGUAAAGACCACAGCAAAGGCCUGUAGAAUAAACAAUGGGAAAAUAAGACAGAGGCACAGAGACAAGGAAAUUUCUUCAUGCCUUCCUCAUAGAGCCCAUGUAUUUUCCCAACCAAAGUCUUAGCUGUACUUCACACUUGCCCCCUCAGCAGAGAAACUGGUCUCCCCAUGGCCCAAGGCACAGGAACAUGUGUCACAUGGGGACUGGAAGCCACUGUAAAUGUGGCACCUCUUCUUAAUGCAUCAGUUGUAUUCAAUUAUUUAGUUAUUAAAAACAUGUUUAGGUUGAAAUAAACAUGACUACUUUUUAGUAGUUCCUGUUGUGGCUCAGUGAUAAUGAACCCGACCAGCACCAAUGAGGAUGCGGAUUUGAUCCCUGGCCUCGCUCAGUGGGUUAAAGGAUCUGGCAUUGUCAUGACCUGUGGUUUAGGUCACAGAUAUGGCUCAGAUCCCGCAUUACUGUUGCUGUGACAUAGGCCGGUGACCACAUCUCUGAUUUGACCCCUAGCCUGGGAACUUCCAUAU
rnacentral:lncRNA from 1 species